ensembl:lncRNA
AAACUGUUAUGCAUGCUGGAGUAUAAAAAGCUGUUGAAUUGUACUUUUUCUUAACUUUCACAUACACUGUGUUCACAGAAACAUUGCUCGAAUCUUGUCCCCUGGACCUUGGAGGACUUUUGGUGUGGGUAAUGUUCAGGUUAGAUAUUUCUUGAAAUGAUUCCACUGAUUGUCAUUUGAUUGUCAUUCCUUUAUUGAAAAUUGUACCUUGUUCACAUCACAGGGCCUACCAAUGCAAAGUUUCUCAAACAAAUGUGGGGUGUUUGUUUUGAUGGAUGAUGUAUAUGAUUCUCCCCCAAGAAGUCACAGCAUGUCACAUCAGCCUCCAGCUCUGAAGGAUCAGACAAUACUGAAAACAAAAUGCACGGCGAACUGGGAGCUGUGAACUGUGAAGCAGCAAGGUGGUGCGAACGCCAAACAUUUAAAGGC